AGAGUUUGAUCCUGGCUCAGAUUGAACGCUGGCGGUAUGCUUUACACAUGCAAGUCGAACGGCAGCACGGGGCAACCUGGUGGCGAGUGGCGAACGGGUGAGUAACAUAUCGGAACAUGUCCGGAAGUGGGGGAUAACGUAGCGAAAGUUACGCUAAUACCGCAUAUGCCCCGAGGGGGAAAGGGGGGGAUCGCAAGACCUCUCGCUUUCGGAGUGGCCGAUAUCGGAUUAGCUAGUAGGCGAGGUAAAGGCUCACCUAGGCGACGAUCCGUAGCUGGUCUGAGAGGACGACCAGCCACACUGGAGCUGAGACACGGUCCAGACUCCUACGGGAGGCAGCAGUGGGGAAUUUUGGACAAUGGGGGCAACCCUGAUCCAGCCAUACCGCGUGAGUGAAGAAGGCCUUCGGGUUGUAAAGCUCUUUCGGCAGGAAAGAAAUCGUGCAGGCUAAUAUCCUGUAUGGAUGACGGUACCUGAAGAAGAAGCACCGGCUAACUACGUGCCAGCAGCCGCGGUAAUACGUAGGGUGCGAGCGUUAAUCGGAAUUACUGGGCGUAAAGCGUGCGCAGGCGGUUCCGUAAGACAGAUGUGAAAUCCCCGGGCUUAACCUGGGAACUGCAUUUGUGACUGCGAGACUAGAGUGUAGCAGAGGGGGGUAGAAUUCCACGUGUAGCAGUGAAAUGCGUAGAUAUGUGGAGGAAUACCGAUGGCGAAGGCAGCCCCCUAGGCUAACACUGACGCUCAUGCACGAAAGCGUGGGGAGCAAACAGGAUUAGAUACCCUGGUAGUCCACGCCCUAA
rnacentral:rRNA from 1 species